rnacentral:rRNA from 1 species
ACGCACGCUGGCGGCAUGCCUAACACAUGCAAGUCGAACGAGACCUUCGGGUCUAGUGGCGCACGGGUGCGUAACGCGUGGGAACCUGCCCUUAGGUUCGGAAUAACUCCCCGAAAGGGGUGCUAAUACCGGAUAAUGUCUUCGGACCAAAGAUUUAUCGCCUUUGGAUGGGCCCGCGUUGGAUUAGCUAGUUGGUAGGGUAAAAGCCUACCAAGGCGACGAUCCAUAGCUGGUCUGAGAGGAUGAUCAGCCACACUGGGACUGAGACACGGCCCAGACUCCUACGGGAGGCAGCAGUGGGGAAUAUUGGACAAUGGGCGAAAGCCUGAUCCAGCAAUGCCGCGUGAGUGAUGAAGGCCUUAGGGUUGUAAAGCUCUUUUACCCGGGAUGAUAAUGACAGUACCGGGAGAAUAAGCUCCGGCUAACUCCGCG